GAGGAUCGAACUCCUGACCUCCUGCGUGCAAAGCAGGCGCUCUCCCAGCUGAGCUAUGGCCCCGUAUCGGAUCACG
rnacentral:tRNA from 1 species